GAUGAACGCUGGCGGCGUGCCUAAUACAUGCAAGUCGAGCGAACAGACGAGGAGCUUGCUCCUUCGACGUUAGCGGCGGACGGGUGAGUAACACGUAGGUAACCUACCUAUAAGACUGGGAUAACUUCGGGAAACCGGAUCUAAUACCGGAUAAUAUUUCGAACCGCAUUGUUCGAUAGUGAAAGAUGGCUUUGCUAUCACUUAUAGAUGGACCUGCGCCGUAUUAGCUAGUUGGUAAGGUAACGGCUUACCAAGGCAACGAUACGUAGCCGACCUGAGAGGGUGAUCGGCCACACUGGAACUGAGACACGGUCCAGACUCCUACGGGAGGCAGCAGUAGGGAAUCUGACGCAAUGGGCGAAAGCCUGACGGAGCAACGCCGCGUGAGUGAUGAAGGUCUUCGGAUCGUAAAACUCUGUUAUUAGGGAAGAACAAACGUGUAAGUAACUGUGCACGUCUUGACGGUACCUAAUCAGAAAGCCACGGCUAACUACGUG
rnacentral:rRNA from 1 species